AAGUCGUAACAAGGUUUCCGUAGGUGAACCUGCGGAAGGAUCAUUACCUAGAGUUGUAGGCUUUGCCUGCUAUCUCUUACCCAUGUCUUUUGAGUACCUUCGUUUCCUCGGUGGGUUCGCCCGCCGAUUGGACAAUUUAAACCCUUUGCAGUUGCAAUCAGCGUCUGAAAAAAUUAAUCGUUACAACUUUCAACAACGGAUCUCUUGGUUCUG
rnacentral:misc_RNA from 1 species